UACGUAGGGUGCAGGCGUUAAUCGGAAUUACUGGGCGUAAAGCGUGCGCAGGCGGUGUGCUAAGAGAGGUGUGAAAUCCCCGGGCUUAACCUGGGAACUGCGCUUCUAACUGGCAGGCUAGAGUGUGGCAGAGGGGGGUGGAAUUCCACGUGUAGGCAGUGAAAUGCGUAGAGAUGUGGAGGAACACCGAAUGGCGAAGGCAGCCCCCCUGGGGCUAACACUGACGCUCAUGCGACGAAAGCGUGGGGAGCAAACGAAG
rnacentral:rRNA from 1 species